AUGUUGUGGAUUGGUCUUGUACAGAUCGUGUGUACCAAUGCCAACGCGACCGUGGCUGGUGAUUCAAGAGAAGGUCGAAGCAUUGCACCUCCUUUAGUGCAACUUGUUCAAGCAAUAUGGACAUCCUACAUUGCCUACAUCAUCAUAGAGUCGGGUGGUAGUCCAUCUGGAUAUGUCAAAUGGAAUAAAGAUAAUAUGCUUUAUUCGUUCAUAUAUCUCAUCUUUGCAAUACCAUAUGCUCUUAUCCUGGCCAAAUUGCUUUUCAAAUAUUAUGCAUGGUACAAAGCUAGGCGAUCAUUAGCGCUUGGACGCAAUCCCCGUCUCAUUGUUGGAUAUAUGGAGCAGAUGCAGUAUGGAACCCAUCAUGCUGAGCUAGUAAGUCAACAUGUACCUCCUCCACUUAUAGUUAUGAGAGAGGGCAUCGUUUUGGUAGAAGAACAACCUCAUGGCUACAACUUGAUAGGGAUGAGCAAUAAUGGCCUAGUGACCAUCGACCAAGUUUGGAAGUUGGAUGACAUGGUGCUUCCAAGGCCAGCAGAGCAACACAAGGUUUUGUGCCUUUCAUUUGCAUUAUUCAAGUUGUUGUGUUGUCGGUUUGCAAGGUACACAAUUAGUGAGGCUGGGUGUAUGGAAGUUAGCAACUUUAUACGACAUGUGUUGCUCACGGAUAGUGAUGAUGAAAGGGUCCUUGGAGUGAUUGAACGUGAGCUUUCAUUUCUUCAUGAUUACUAUUAUACAUCCCUCCCAAUAUCAUAUUCACAGACUUGGCUACCCAUAUUGGGUGUGUCUAUUUCAGUCCCAAGUAUCGGCUACUGCUUAUUUGUCAUCGUGUUUUGCGUAUUGUGGUUCCAUAGUGAACGUUAUGAGCAGAUUGGUUAUAAAAAAGUGUUUUGCCAUUCUACAUUGGGCCGCAUAUUCAUCGAGAGAGAUCUGGUGGGUUUUCUAGGAUUUUAUCAUGGAACAUUAUUGUUUGACCUCCUUUCGAUAUAUCUACUUGCUGCGCUAGUCGUGCUUGUUGAGGUGAGGGAAAUCACAUCUUACAUCUGCUCCAACUGGACCAAAGUAGCCCUAAUCUGUGGCUACGUAAAGCACACAUCUUGCCAGCAAUCUUUGAUGGUUCGUAAAUGCAUUGACCUCGUACUGAGCACCAGAUGCAUGCUGUCGGGGCACUGGGAGGACAAGAUGAACCAAUGCUCAAUCCUAGCGCUUCACCCAAGUAUAAAUGUAGUGUCUCUUCUUCGACAUAUCCUUAAUCUCCCUGACCACAAGGAGAAGGUGCCAAGGGUGGUAAAAGUCGCCAUAGUUGACGCGGUGAGAAGGUUCGACCAAAGGAGAAUCAGGCACAGAAGCAACCUUGGUGCAACUCCUCUUCAACUACGGGCCGGCAACGAACUCCUUUGGACAUUCCAUGGAGCCAAAGGAGUAGCUGAUGCCAUCCUCAUGUGUCACGUCGCCACAAGCAUCCUUGAAAUGGCGAGUUCACAACGUCAACUUCUCUCCGACCAUGAGAUCGUCGCCACUCACUUGUCACGAUACUGCGCCUAUUUGGUGGCGUACUCUCCCAAGCUACUCCCCGACGACGCCGUGUGGUGCAGGAGCUUGUACAAGGCCGUCAAGAAGGAUGCCGAGCGCUCCCUUGUCGGCUGCGGCAUUACAAUAUCAACGGACUAUGGGCGGGUGGUCGAGCUGCUGAGCACGCGGUCAAAGCACCAUGUGCUUAGGGAUGGUGUGGAGCUUGGGUGGCGGCUGGCGGAGCUGCCGGAAGGAGAGGAGGUGGCGUGGAAGGCCCUUGCCGAAUUCUGGUCGGAGACCGUCGUUUGCAUCGCCGCUUCCUGUGACGACAUGGACGAGCAUGCAGAGGCCAUUGCCCGGGGCGGGGAGCUGAUAACGCUCCUCUGGGCGUUGCUUUACCAUGUCGGGAGUGUU
rnacentral:rRNA from 1 species